AAUCCGUGAUGUGAACAUAUAUUCAUCAGAUCCUUGAACAUCUCCUAACAAGCCUAGAAGGUCUCGUCACCUUUCUGCACAAACUGACUGAUCUACUCUUGCAAGUAU